AACGAACGCUGGCGGCAGGCUUAACACAUGCAAGUCGAGCGCCCCGCAAGGGGAGCGGCAGACGGGUGAGUACGCGUGGGAAUCUACCCUUGACUACGGAAUAACGCAGGACUUGUGCUAAUACGUAUGUGUCCUUCGGGAGAAAGAUUUAUCGGUCAAGGAUGAGCCCGCGUUGGAUUAGCUAGUUGGUGGGGUAAAGGCCUACCAGGCGACGAUCCACUGGUCUGAGAGGAUGAUCAGCCACAUUGGGACUGAGACACGGCCCAAACUCCUACGGGAGGCAGCAGUGGGGAAUAUUGGACAUGGGCGCMGCCUGAUCCAGCCAUGCCGCGUGAGUGAUGAAGGCCCUAGGGUUGUAAAGCUCUUUCACCGGAGAGAUAAUGACGGUAUCCGGAGAAGAAGCCCCGGCUAACUUCGUGCCAGCAGCCGCGGUAAUACGAAGGGGGCUAGCGUUGUUCGGAAUUACUGGGCGUAAAGCGAAGGGGGCUAGCGUUGUUCGGAAUUACUGGGCGUAAAGCGCACGUAGGCGGAUCGAUCAGUCAGGGGUGAUCCCAGGGCU
rnacentral:rRNA from 1 species